rnacentral:lncRNA from 10 species
UUGAAAAAAAAUGAGGACCCGUCUUUUUUAGGUCACAAGAUUGCGCCAACCCUUACAUGGUCCUUAAAAAAAAAACCUUCUGACACUGCAGUAGUGAAAAUGAAGCGCACGAUGGGCGGAAGCUAGGAAGACAAACAUAAAGAUGAAGUGCUUAAUUCAAGGUCACACAAUGUCGGGGAUGGACCUCCAGAUUUCCUUACUGGUGAGACGUGGUCUUGUAACACAGUGGUUAAGAAUGUGACUUUGGAGCCAGCCUGCUAGGGGCUGAAUUCUGACUCAGCCAUUUACUAACUGUGUGACCUUAGGGAGGAGGACCUGGUUGAUAGAAGAAUUUAUCUCGUAGUCUUAACAUCCACUGUAAUUCCAAACUUUGAGGACGAUAGAGAUCAGUGGGCUUUGACUGCCCAGCAUGCAGUCUCCAUUCUUAGGUGGGUUCCCAAGCCUGUAAAAUGUAAGCCUUAUGCUGCUGAGGGCCAUCUUGCCACCCUGAGGGAAACGCUGCCUGAGAAUGAAACAAGCAUAAGUAAAAGCUGAGCUGUGAGAUGGAGCAAGAUGAAGGCCACAUGACAUCUUUGGAGCACCUGGAUCUAACUGUGCCUUAAGCUAGUCUAACCCUGAACAUUUCAUCAUUUCAUUGACAUGAGCCCAGGUUUUCUUUUUUUUUGGAUGGAGUCUUGCUCUGUCGCCCAGGCUGGAGUGCAGUAGCUCAAUCUCGGCUCACUGCAAGCUCCACCUCCCGGGUUCACGCCAUUCUCCUGCCUUAGCCUCCCAAGUAGCUGGGACAACAGGCGCCCACCACCACUCCCAGCUAAUUUUUUGUAUUUUUAGUAGAGACGGGGUUUUACCAUGUUAGCCGGGAUGGUCUUGAUCUCCUGACCUCAUGAUCCGCCCGCCUCGGCCUCCCAAAGUGCUGGGAUUACAGGUGUGAGCCACUGCACCCAGCCCUCAGGUUUUCCCUUUUUUUACCCCUCCUUUUGAAAAUUUGAUGUGGAAUUUUGCCACCUGCAGCCAGAAGAGUUUUAACUAAUCAGUGCCAUAAAUUUUAUAUAGUUCUCCUUGCAAAAUGUGGAUCAGCCUUUCUCAGCAAAUCCUUUGUCAUAAAGUGCUGAAUUGUAAGUUUGUCAUGAGAAUCACAUGAGAUCAUGCAUGUGAAGAACCUGGCAUUAUCCUCCUCAUAGAAAAAAACCAGUAAAUAUUAACUACAGGAAGCAAGGAAGGAGUGGGGUGAGGGGAAGAAGAAGGGGUACUGAUUUAAAAGAACCCUGGAGUCCUAAGGAUAAUCUAGGAACCCUCAGACCCAAUCCGAUACCCCUAUUCUAAAUGCUCCUAGUGCCCUGUACCUUCCCCUCAUAAGCCUUCAUUAUCAUUGUAAUGAUAUGUUUAUGUAAUAUUUUGAUUAAUGUCUCUCCUUCACUGACCUAGCAGUUCUAGCAGGGCAGUGAUUUUGCUGUGUUGCAUCCCCAGCACCUAGUCUGGUAUGUGGCAUUCAGCAUAUGUUUAUUGAAUGAAUGGCCAUGUGGUUAUUCAGAUCCUCCUUGAUUAUUGGGGUUAGGAUUGUGGCAGAAGUGGCAAAAUCAGGGAGAGUAGUCCCUGUCCCCUCUGUAUCUUAUACACUGCCCACACUCCCAACACACAUACACAUACAGAGAAUUUUGUCUCAAUUAGAUAAUUAACUUCUGCUUGGUUGUAAACCAAACCACUGGUUCUUAAACUUUCAUUGGAUCAUUUUAUUGAAGAAUUAAAUAGUGUGGUUCUGGCCUAAUGUCUGGAAAGCCUUGCAGAGGAGUGGAUUAGGUCUUUGUGAUAAACAGGCAGCCUUCCCUGCUCCUGUGUCUUUAUAAAAUCUAUUUAACUGGAGUAGUCCACCCUCCCUCAGGCUCUUACAGGAAUAUGUUGGAGGCUGUAGGAAGGUGGGAAACCGAGAGGGAAAGGACUGGGCCGCUGGAGACUUCACUCAUUCCCUAGCAAGAAACAAAAGCAGUAAAAGGUGGCCCGAGGACAACCUGAAGCUCACUCCUUCAGCACUUUUGGCUGGAGGUCACUUGUUGGAGCCCCACUCAGAGCUCAGCACACCACCCCACCAGCAGCCUCCUCCUCCCAGCUGAGGCUGCAUUUCAUCCCUUCCCCCAGCCUGCUUUCCCUGAGAUAGGGGAGUGUUUCCCAGGGCCCAUGUGACUUCCACUGGCAAGUGACGAUUACCAAUGGUUUACUAGUCAGUGAAACUACCAAAGGCUUUUGUGCUGUAGUAAUCCUUUUCCUGUUUAAAACUCUGGGGAUUUUCUAAUGUUGCCAAUAGUUUUUCAAGUCAGCAAUUACUGUGUGGAUUAUGUAAUGGCUCGGUAUUAAAAAUAGAAAAGACUGGAGUUUGCAUCUAUUUUAACCAAAUCUUGAAAACAGAGCAAAGGGAGGGGAAGGGUGGAGAGGGAGAGACCAGAGGAGGAGGGAGAAAAAGAGAUCAUGUGACUGGAUAAGACAGCUCACAAUUCACUGUGCCUUUCUCCCACCAUUUGUGGCCCAAGGACCUGUACUCCCUCCUCAGCCUCCUCUAGGGAGGGGUCCUUGAUGAGAAUUCUGAGGACACAAGACCCCUUGUGGAUAUUUCUUAGCUCAGCCUUGGUGUGCUUACCUGCUUCUGACAAGCAAAGUGGCCAAGUAGGGGAGGGAGUUGAAUCUGAUGUCCUCCACUAAGUCCAG